AUGGGGUGACUGCGUACCUUUUGUAUAAUGGGUCAGCGACUUAUAUUCUGUAGCGAGGUUAACCGUAUAGGGGAGCCGUAGGGAAACCGAGUCUUAACUGGGCGAAUGAGUUGCAGGGUAUAGACCCGAAACCCGGUGAUCUAUCCAUGGGCAGGUUGAAGGUUGGGUAACACUAACUGGAGGACCGAACCGACUAAUGUUGAAAAAUUAGCGGAUGACUUGUGGAUGGGGGUGAAAGGCCAAUCAAACCGGGAGAUAGCUGGUUCUCCCCGAAAGCUAUUUAGGUAGCGCCUCGUGAACUCAUCUUCGGGGGUAGAGCACUGUUUCGACUAGGGGGUCAUCCCGACUUACCAACUCGAUGCAAACUGCGAAUACCGAAGAAUGUUAUCACGGGAGACACACGGCGGGUGCUAACGUCCGUCGUGAAGAGGGAAACAACCCAGACCGCCAGCUAAGGUCCCAAAGUCAUGGUUAAGUGGGAAACGAAGUGGGAAGGCUCAGACAGCCAGGAUGUUGGCUUAGAAGCAGCCAUCAUUUAAAGAAAGCGUAAUAGCUCACUGGUCGAGUCGGCCCGCGCGGAAGAUGUAACGGGGCUAAACCAUGCACCGAAGCUGCGGCAGCGACAC
rnacentral:rRNA from 1 species